rnacentral:rRNA from 1 species
GAAAAGAAACCAACAGGGAUUGCCCCAGUAACGGCGAGUGAAGCGGCAACAGCUCAAAUUUGAAAUCUGGCCCUAGGCCCGAGUUGUAAUUUGCAGAGGAUGCUUUUGGUGACGCGCCUACCGAGUCCCCUGGAACGGGGCGCCACAGAGGGUGAGAGCCCCGUAUGGUUUGACGCCGAGCCUCUGUAAAGCUCCUUCGACGAGUCGAGUAGUUUGGGAAUGCUGCUCUAAAUGGGAGGUAAAUUUCUUCUAAAGCUAAAUACCGGCCAGAGACCGAUAGCGCACAAGUAGAGUGAUCGAAAGAUGAAAAGCACUUUGAAAAGAGGGUUAAAUAGCACGUGAAAUUGUUGAAAGGGAAGCGCUCGUGACCAGACUUGCGCCGGGCGGAUCAUCCAGCGUUCUCGCUGGUGCACUCCGCCCGGCUCAGGCCAGCAUCGGUUUUCGCCGGGGGACAAAAGCUUCGGGAACGUAGCUCCCUUCGGGGAGUGUUAUAGCCCGUUGCGCAAUACCCCGGCGGGGACCGAGGACCGCGCUUCGGCAAGGAUGCUGGCGUAAUGGUCAUCAGCGACCCGUCUUGAAACACGGACCGAGGAGUCAAGCAUUAGUGCGAGUGUUUGGGUGUAAAACCCGCACGCGUAAUGAAAGUGAACGUAGGUGAGAGCUUCGGCGCAUCAUCGACCGAUCCUGAUGUUUUCGGAUGGAUUUGAGUAGGAGCAUUAACGCUUGGACCCGAAAGAUGGUGAACUAUACUUGAAUAGGGUGAAGCCAGAGGAAACUCUGGUGGAGGCUCGCAGCGGUUCUGACGUGCAAAUCGAUCGUCAAAUUUGAGUAUAGGGGCGAAAGACUAAUCGAACCAUCUAGUA